AGGGGACAUUUGGUAACGUCUGGAAACAUUUUUGGUUGUCACAACCGGGGAGGGAGGGACAGACUACUGGCAUCGAGUCGUUAGAGGCCAGGGAUGCUGCUAAACAUCCCACAGAGCCUGGGGCAGCCCCAAGGGCAAAGAAGUUUUCAGUCCCAAAUGUCAAUGGUGCCACGGUUGAGAAACCCUGCGGGAACCCACUCAGCCCGCACCCUACCGACAGGCGUGCAUGUUGUCCCAAAUACUUUGCUGCUAUAAAUAUCGGUGCAAAAAUUGCUUUCCUACCUAAGUUACUCCUCCUGAGUGAGUAGAACCGACAGUAUCUAGUGUAGGCCACUCGGGCAGGAAGAAAGAAGAUGGAAUGCACAUCUAUAUUCGUAAGAUUCCUCUGGAAGAAUCCUCUAAAAACUUUCUAACUCCAAGAGAAGACAAGGAUCUGGUGGGAAAAAAGUGAAUUAAAAAGCCUGCCUUCCCCAGGUUUGUCUUCUUGCUUUUAGAAAUUCUAAUGACAUCUCCUCUGUUUCAAACCAGGCUCUGGGUCAACCUUCCACGGCACUGGAACCUGCUGGAACUCCUGCUUAGUUAGUUACAUUGACAGCUGCAUAGACCCUUACCCCAUGCCUGGCUAAGUGAAAAAGAUUGUGAUCCACCAUGUUCUCUGAAUUAGAGCAGCCUUGAAAAUAUUUCAUUUACAAUAAGAGAUGGAUGCUCAUUAUGCCAUGUUUCAGCAAGAUACCUGAGCUAAAGAGACAUGUGGUUGAAUUCAGUUGUUUGGUCCAUUAGAUGGGCGUCUGGAAGUGUUUUUAAUGUCUGUUUCCUUCUUGCAGAAGCGUUAUAUAGGUCAGUAGGACAGAAGCGUGGGAUGUGGGGGACUUCCGUAGUUCGAGCAGAAGCUCUUCUUUUUUUCCCCCAGCUUUAUUUAUCAAUAGUAAUAAAUAAACAUGGUUAUAUAUUUCAGGUGUACAACUGGAUGCUUUGGUAUACAUGUACAUUGUGAAAUGACUUCACCAAUCAAGCUAACUGACCUAUCCAUCACCUUAUAUAUUUAUUUUUUCCAUUUUUUUGUGGUGAGCACACAACACUCUCUUCGCAAGUCUCCAGUGUCCAAUCCACCAUUAUUAACCAGAAUCUCCCUGUGGAAACUCUCGGAGCAGGGAAACGCCUUUCACGGCCAGCACCCACUGCCCGGAGCUGUCUCCCCUCUUCACUCGGCCGUUUCCCACCCAUGCAGACUCAGGACGCUCAGGGAAACAGAUUUGCCACAAAUCCCAGAUGUUGUUGCAGAUAAUGGAUAA
rnacentral:lncRNA from 1 species